AGAUUCUAGUUUCAUGCUAUCAGAUACGAGAGGAAAUGGCACAAAUCAGUUCUUCUAUAUCACCACUUGACUGAUUCUCUGAUGACAGAAAUGAGGGGACUAAGUUUUCAGGAAGAUCCUGAACACUUGAUGAGGAGGAUGAUGCUUUCGUUCUUUUCAAAAGAGCACUGAAGAGGAUUUCUCCCCUACUAGGGCCAUGGAGAGCAAAUUUCUAUAUCCUAGGAUAUGGGCAGGGGAACAGAAGACAAGGGAUGACGCUGUGUUUCAGAGGAAUUCAUAAGCAGAAUUGAAUUUGUUUUAGUUAACUCCUUAUUUGAUUGGAAUAUUGUCGACUUAACAAAAUAGUAGAAAGAGCAUUGGGCUGAAGUGAGAAGAUUUGAAUUCUAGUCCAAAAUCUGUUACUAACCAGCUCUUUGACCCUGAGAAGUCAUUUGACUUGAAUUAUAGUCUUUUUCUUAUAUGGGAAAGGUGGAGUAUACUCAGAGUCUCUCCUAAGUGCUAAGAUUCUGUGAUUCUAUGAAAUCAGACCAUCAGAGAGGAAUACUGCAGUGUUCUCCUGCAUGGGUUGUAAAUGAGAAUAAGCCAAGACCUGCAGGCAAGAAAGAACAGAAGAUAAAAUAUAUGUGUGGGAGAAAAGGGGCCCUGGCUGUAACAGAGUGGGAAGAAGCAGAGAAAAAAGAAAGAAGGAGAGCAAAAUGACUUAAAGACAUUUUCAAGAAAAAAAGAGGAGAGAAGUCACUGAAAUGGAAAAAUAAACAUAUUAUAUAACUAUUUAUUGCACUAUGCAAUAAAAACAUCUUCAGCAACAGCCACACAAGUGCGGGUAGAGGGUCUGCUUUGAAGAGAGAAAAAAGGCUGCUGCAGAAAAAACAAACCUCAAUUCAUAAUUGGAGCUUUUGUUCUUUCUGGAUUGUUUUGUGAAGAACAUGCUGCCAAAAAACAUUUUUCUUCUGUAACCGCUUCUUUUGAAACUCCAUUCUUUUUUAUUUCAAGGAUGUUUAUUAUCUACUCAUUUCUUUUUAUUUAUUUUUGAAUCAUAUACCCCAAUGUCUAGAUGACUGGGACCACUAGGUUUCAUAUUUCCCAGAUGAGAUUAGUUGUACAGUUCAUUUUGCAGGUUUAUUCAGAGCAUUUCAAUGGCAUUUCACCUACAGUUCACCUAUAUUGAGUCCUAAGAAAUUGAAGGUGUUUCUUGAUAGUUCUCCUGCUCCAUCUUCUUCCAGGGGAUUGAUUUGGCUUCUUAUGUUUUUGUAUUUGGUUGCUCAUUAGAGAUAAGCCUGAUUAUUUGGCAUUGUGUAUUUUCUCUGUUUUAAAAAGGGAAAAUACAACAUGUUAUUAAUUAUUAUGAUAUAAUAAAAAAUGGAGAGAAGGAAAAAGAUUUUCAUCCUGACACUUUGAGUCAUUUUAAGAAUUUUCAGCU
rnacentral:lncRNA from 1 species